rnacentral:lncRNA from 10 species
GGCCAGAUAAGAGAAUAAAAGCAGGCUGCCCGAGCCAGCAUUGACAACUCGCGGGGAUUGUUUUCCACACCGUGGAAGCUUUGUUCUUUUCGUUUUUUGCAAUAAAUCUUGUUGCUGCUCGCUUUUUGGGUCCACAUUGCUUUUAUGAGCUGUACCACUCACCGUGAAGAUCUGCAGCUUCACUUCAGAGCCUAGCGAGACCACAAGCUCACUGAGAGGAACAAACAACUCCAGACGCGCUGUCUUAAGAGCUAUAACACUCACCGCGAAGGUGUGCAGUUUCACUCCUGAGCUAGUGAGACUACGAAGCCACUGGAACGAAGAAACUCCAACCACGUUUGAACAUCAGAAGGGGCAGACUCCAGACGCUUCAUCUUAAGAGCUGUAACACUCACUGUGAAGGUCUGCAGCUUCACUCCUGAGCCAGCGAGACCACGAACCGAUCUGAACAUCAGAAGGGACAGACUCCAGAUGCCCCACCUUAAGAGCUGUAAUACUCACUGCAAGGGUCUGCAGCUUCAUUCUUGAAGUCAGACCAAGAACCCAGCAAUUCCCAACACACAGGGACCAGCUUCUUUCCUAACUCACUUAGGCUCUUCGUGCUGCUCUGGCAACUAACACCCUUGGCUGCAGGGGCUUGGACACUACCCUUAGUCACUGACAAUUGUGUGAAGGCUGCUGUCGUUAACUUCACUUGAUCACCUUAGGCUCCUGUGAAGUGGUGAGCAAUUCAAACAAAUUCCUGUCGUCAAAUCAUAAUCCUGAUUUUGUUUGGAAGGACAGCGUGCCUGGUUCCAGGAUAUACAUCUUUCCACACCAAUAGACCUUGUUUUCCGAUGUAGCAUUAUUUUUCAUAGUUGGCGAAUAUACAGUUAUGGAUUCAUAACAGCAAGAUGGAGAAAUUGCACUGCAGAGAAAUCUUUAAAAGCAAUUACCUAAUACUGCAGAUUGCUGAACUGUACCCACACCCAAGACUGAGCAUUGGAUCAAUCCAGAAUAUACAUCAGGUGUUCUGCAAUGUCUGCCUAAAACCAUGACUCUGCCUCCUCCAGCUGUUGCUACAUCUCACUAUGGGUUUCCUGUGACAUUUUGAGCAAGUAUGCCUCUGUGACUGGGGUUCUUACACUCCAGAAUGGAUGAGAAGCACCGUAAGUGGCUUUUAAAAUGAAUAUUCCCUGGCCCUUCAGUCGCUCUAUAGGUCAAGAAUCUGAAUUCUCAACCUGUCUAGAAGGUUCUGGUUUUAAUGGUCUGUGGGCUGCACAUUGAGAAACCUGUUCAGCGAGUGCAACAAAGGUUCCACAUGUGAGAAAGGAAGCAUCAGGUCUCUUGAGCCUGUUCUUUAAUCUGUAGGCUGCACCUUCUCUUUAAAUUCUGCUAAUAACACCAUGCGAGAAAACACCCGAGCUUGAAAAGCCCAUGUUCCAACAUAACUGUCCUUCACCACUCUGGAAAAUUAAUGGUUUGUUUCGAUUAUCCCUUUGUUAAACUCCAAAGUCAAAGAGCUCUGAAAGGCAUACGGUUAUUUUAAGUUUCAGGUGAUUUCUGUUGCCAAAUAUUUUAAAAAUUUAAAAUUGCUACGUGACCUCUUAGUAGUACUAUUAGAUUUCCUGACAAUAAAAAUAAGUCUUUUGGUUUCACCAUUUAUAGUUAGUACAGCUAAUAUUAAGUAUAAUUUUAAAAGCCUUUUAUUUUCUCAGAAAGAAAAAAUAAUCAAAAUCUGCUCAGUGUGGUAUUGAAUAAUUAAAAACAAAAGAACAGUAUCUUCACAUUAGUGUUUAAUAUUAAUUGCUUUUUUACCCUUGACACUGGUGCUAAUUAAAUUUUCAUUUUAUUUUCCAUGACUUGUUUAAACAGUUUUUGCAAAUUAUUGCUAAUCAGCCUAAUAAAACUGAAUCACCUAUUAAACAAUUUUGUUUUGAAUUAAAUGGCAUUAAAAUAAUUCUGGCUGCCUUGUGUUAUAAUGUGUUACAAGAAUACCAACCGCUACAGGUAAUAUGCCUUAGCUUUUACACAUGCUUUAAAUAAAUCUACGGAUGUAUUUACCUACAUGCACAAACAUGCAAAGAGGCAGUGUUGGUUAGUUGAAUGGGUUUCCGGCUGGAUUUAUUUCCCGUCUACUGUCUUCUCAAGAGGAAAUCUAAGGCAAAUCUCUUCAACAACCUGAAACUUGGUUUUCAUCAUCAGCAAAAUAAGG